rnacentral:ribozyme from 13 species
UUUGCAUCUUCUUUUUCAAUUUUCGAUUUCGUGAGAGUUUUAUAAAUUCUGGAAGAAAGACUUCACAGGGAUAACAUCGAUUUGAUACAAAAAGAAUCAACCAAGAGGUUUGAGUAUC